GAGAACUUGAGUGCAGAAGAGGACAGUGGAACUCCAUGUGUAGCGGUGAAAUGCGUAGAGAUAUGGAAGAACACCAGUGGCGAAGGCGGCUGUCUGGUCUGUAACUGACGCUGAGGAUCGAAAGCAUGGGUAGCGAACAGGAUUAGAUACCCUGGUAGUCCACGCCGUAAACGAUGAUUACUAAGUGUUGGGGGGUUUCCGCCCUUCAGUGCUGCAGCUAACGCAUUAAGUAAUCCGCCUGGGGAGUACGACCGCAAGGUUGAAACUCAAAAGAAUUGACGGGGGCCCGCACAAGCGGUGGAGCAUGUGGUUUAAUUCGAAGCAACGCGAAGAACCUUACCAGGUCUUGACAUCUUCUGCCAACCUAAGAGAUUAGGCGUUCCCUUCGGGGACAGAAUGACAGGUGGUGCAUGGUUGUCGUCAGCUCGUGUCGUGAGAUGUUGGGUUAAGUCCCGCAACGAGCGCAACCCUUAAUAUUAGUUGCCAGCAUUCAGUUGGGCACUCUAAGGAGACUGCCGGUGACAAACCGGAGGAAGGUGGGGAUGACGUCAAAUCAUCAUGCCCCUUAUGACCUGGGCUACACACGUGCUACAAUGGAUGGUACAAAGAGUAGCGAAACCGCGAGGUUAA
rnacentral:rRNA from 1 species